GAUGAACGCUGGCGGCGUGCUUAACACAUGCAAGUCGAACGGAAAGGCUCCUGCUUGCAGGGGUACUCGAGUGGCGAACGGGUGAGUAACACGUGGGUGAUCUGCCCUGCACUUCGGGAUAAGCCUGGGAAACUGGGUCUAAUACCGGAUAGGACGAUGGUUUGGAUGCCAUUGUGGAAAGUUUUUCGGUGUGGGAUGAGCUCGCGGCCUAUCAGCUUGUUGGUGGGGUAAUGGCCUACCAAGGCGUCGACGGGUAGCCGGCCUGAGAGGGUGUACGGCCACAUUGGGACUGAGAUACGGCCCAGACUCCUACGGGAGGCAGCAGUGGGGAAUAUUGCACAAUGGGCGCAAGCCUGAUGCAGCGACGCCGCGUGGGGGAUGACGGCCUUCGGGUUGUAAACUCCUUUCGCUAGGGACGAAGCGCAAGUGACGGUACCUGGAGAAGAAGCAACGGCUAACUACGUG
rnacentral:rRNA from 1 species